AGUGGCAAAACGUAAGAUGCCUAAAUCAUGUGCUGCUUGGGGUUGUUCCAAACGUUCGACAGCAGAAACCAGAUCCCAUGGGAUUACCUUUCACAACCUGUGGUUACCAGGCCAUCUCAAACAUCAAUGAAGGCUCCACAGAGCCUGACGAUGGAGUAUUCAGUGGACUCUUCUGUUCAACAGUUCAAUGUUGUACCUAUCUGUCAUGGGAUUCAUCAUCAACACUGACACCCUGAUGUUGAUUCCAGAACUGCUUCAACGUCAGCGGUACGUUUGCACCUACUGCUGCAGCCAAGAUCACUUGCUCCUCUUCAAUUCAAUCAGGGCAUCAGGUUGGGAUUUGAGUUUUGUUUUUUUACCAUGUGGUUUAUAUAUAUGUAUACAUGUUCCACACUAUUUUUGGCCUUUCAGAUAAUAUUCUUCUCUUUUUAAUUAAAAAAAAGACUGCCAGUCUCAAAAUGGCAUAUACAGUGCUGCUUGAAAUUUUGUGAUCAAUUUUAUUAUUUCUGCAUAAAUGUGACCUAAGACUACACAUAUAAAAGUGGUGUGUAUGAUUUAGGGGGCUGGAAUAACAACCCUUCAGCAGGCCACUUCCAGGCUAUUUUCCGCCGUCUGAUUGUGUGGUGUGUCUACAAGUACAUCAGGAAAUGUGGUAGGGUUUGUUGUUCGCCAAGUUCUGAAAUGCCUAUCUUGUGAUAUGUGCCAUGGUAGUUUAGUGAGUGAUGCCAUACCUCCAUCAUUUGAUCAGAGCUACCACUUGCUCACACUAAAGAACAAAGGAGUGCUGAUGAUUCCUUCUGAGGGCACAGUAAAGGUGGUUAGGUCAGCU